rfam:Oryza barthii chromosome 10, whole genome shotgun sequence.
AAAAAGGUAAACCGUGGAUUUUCGUGCCAAUAUUCAACAUUUGACUAUCCGUCUUAUAUGAAAAUUUUUUAUAAUUAGUAUUUUCAUUGUUGUUAAAUGAUAAAACAUGAUUAAUACUUUAUGCGUGACUUAUCUUUUUAAUUUUUUUUCAUAAUUUUUUUAAAUAAGACGGACGGUCAAACAUUGGACGCGGAAACCAGGGUUUGUCCUUUUU